rnacentral:rRNA from 1 species
UGAAUUGACUUUCCGAGGCAACUCGGUCGGGAGGAUUGCCGGCGCCAGCUGGCUUUCUUUGCAUUUCCAGGUCUACGUUUUUCAUAUACCCCAUUGUAUGUAACAGAAUGUAACAUUGGGCACUUGUGCCUAUAAACUUUAUACAACUUUCAGCAACGGAUCUCUUGGCUCUCGCAUCGAUGAAGAACGCAGCGAAAUGCGAUAAGUAAUGUGAAUUGCAGAAUUCAGUGAAUCAUCGAAUCUUUGAACGCACCUUGCGCUCCUUGGUAUUCCGAGGAGCAUGCCUGUUUGAGUGUCAUUAAAUUCUCAACCUUUAUCAACUUUUGUUGAUCAUGGCUUGGAUAUGGGGGUUUAUUUUGCUGGCUUCUUUACAGAUGGUCAGCUCCCCUUAAAUGCAUUAGCCGGUGCCCCGCGUGGACUGUCUAUUGGUGUGAUAAUUAUCUACGCCGUGGACAUCUGCAAUCAUAUGGGUUUGCACUGCUUCCAACUGUCUGUUGAAUCAGACAAUACAUGACAAUUUGACCUCAAAUCAGGUAGGAC